rnacentral:rRNA from 1 species
GAUGAACGCUGGCGGCGUGCCUAAUACAUGCAAGUCGAGCGAGCAGACGAGGAGCUUGCUCCCCUGACGUUAGCGGCGGACGGGUGAGUAACACGUGGAUAACCUACCUAUAAGACUGGGAUAACUUCGGGAAACCGGAGCUAAUACCGGAUAAUAUAUUGAACCGCAUGGUUCAAUAGUGAAAGACGGUUUUGCUGUCACUUAUAGAUGGAUCCGCGCCGCAUUAGCUAGUUGGUAAGGUAACGGCUUACCAAGGCAACGAUGCGUAGCCGACCUGGGAGGGUGAUCGGCCACACUGGAACUGAGACACGGUCCAGACUCCUACGGGAGGCAGCAGUAGGGAAUCUUCCGCAAUGGGCGAAAGCCUGACGGAGCAACGCCGCGUGAGUGAUGAAGGUCUUCGGAUCGUAAAACUCUGUUAUUAGGGAAGAACAAAUGUGUAAGUAACUAUGCACGUCUUGACGGUACCUAAUCAGAAAGCCACGGCUAACUACGUG